UCAACCCGAACCCCACGCUCCAAACCUUAUCCCCUUUCUCUAGAUCCACCACGCACGCCGCCGCCGCCCUAGGUGCCCUCUCCGGCCGACGGCAGCGCUACGCGUCCAGCGAGGCUGCCACCACUUUGUUCCCCUCUUUCUCGCACCCCUCCGUCGUCAUCCCCACACGGCUGCCAUUUUCCCACGCCGAGGUGGGCUUGUGCCGCCGCCGCCAUCACACAGGUGCCAACAGUGGCGCUUUUUGUUCAUACGCAAGUGCCCGCUGAUGCCACCUCUCACCUCUCUCUCAUGGCUCCACUGCCGCAUCCCAGACCAGCUAGAUCUAUGUGGGUCAAUGUCCCUUCACUCCCAUUCGUCAGGUCCAAGGCGCCCAACCCCUGCUUCCUCUGCUUCCGGUGAUUAGGAGCUUGGUGGUGGGUGCCCCCAUCUCUCCCCAAUUCAGGAGAACAGGAGCUAGCCAUCCAUGGAAGAAACGACAUCGUAAGGGGAAAUAAAUCUUUAGUAAGUUUGGGCAAAAAGGCCACCGGACGAUGUCCAUAGUCAUAUGCAUAUGCAUCACAUCGACUUGAUGCUACUACUAUUUACUCUCAAGAACAUCAGUAAGUAUGUAUCGAUGAUAGCAAGCAAAUGUUGGAUGCCCUCACUGUUUACUUCUGAUUGGCAUAUAGGACUAUGUGCUUGUCCAGUAAACACAUCUCCAGUUUUCUACUAAUUCUUUGGUACAACAGUAUACAUGUAGCAUUUCGUAAAUGUUUCCUUGUGAAAAUAUCAUACUAUAACAUUAUGUUCUAUUUAGUUCCCAGAAGUAGUACUUGGUUUCAACUUUGAAAGACCAGAUGAAUUCUUCUAUGGGGCGUCUGAACAAAAGGGGCAUUUUCGUCAUCCCGUCACUAAGGUAGUGGAGCAAGAUGUCUUAUAUCUAGGUAAUGGCAUCAAUCAAUGUUGGGACAAGGAAUCUCAUCAUUGCAAUAUAUAGCUACCACAUUGGACCAGGUGCGUUUAUCCUGAGCUGGCAUGUGAAGGUAACUUGACCCAUCAUGUUUAUUUUGUGAAAUUGAAAGUCAAAAUAAGGGAUUUAUUCACCAACUAGUCAAUCUCCUUCCAGGAAGAAUAGUACAAAAAACUCUAUGCUUAGCACACAUCUGCUAUGGAAAGUACGUCAUCGUUAAGCCUAGGAAGCAAACAAAAGGACUGCACUCAACGGAACCAUGAAGCCAACGAUCUACGCCAACUAGAUGUUUUAGAUUUCAUCUUGUACAUGUCUCAUAAUUGCAUCUUUUACCCUUUCCUGGUUAUGUUUAGAAUAGAUUGAAGUGUAUGUAUGUGACAAAUAAUUAAUGGAAUAAAAAAAUGUUUGGUGCA